rnacentral:rRNA from 1 species
GAUGAACGCUGGCGGCGUGCCUAAUACAUGCAAGUAGAACGCUGAAGGAAGGAGCUUGCUCUUUCCGGAUGAGUUGCGAACGGGUGAGUAACGCGUAGGUAACCUGCCUGGUAGCGGGGGAUAACUAUUGGAAACGAUAGCUAAUACCGCAUAACAGUAGAUGUUGCAUGAUAUCUACUUAAAAGGUGCAAUUGCACCACUACCAGAUGGACCUGCGUUGUAUUAGCUAGUUGGUGAGGUAACGGCUCACCAAGGCGACGAUACAUAGCCGACCUGGGAGGGUGAUCGGCCACACUGGGACUGAGACACGGCCCAGACUCCUACGGGAGGCAGCAGUAGGGAAUCUUCGGCAAUGGACGGAAGUCUGAACGAGCAACGCCGCGGGAGUGAAGAAGGUUUUCGGAUCGUAAAGCUCUGUUGUAAGAGAAGAACGAGUGUGAGAGUGGAAAGUUCACACUGUGACGGUAUCUUACCAGAAAGGGACGGCUAACUACGUG